GAUGGUGUAUUUUAAAAAAAUUAUUACUCUGCAAAGGUAAAGUUGCUCUUAAUUGAGUCACCAUUU
rnacentral:tRNA from 1 species